AAGCGUGUGCAGAUGUAGAGAUAAUUUUAGUAUUUGACUUGUUAGAAAUGCUUUUAUUUUGAUAUAAAAUAUAAUUUGCUCUCUUUAUGUAUGUGAAUAUGAUAUCUAUGUCUAAUACUAUAUAUGUCAAUUACUGUGUUUUCCAAGUAUUGCACAAUUGACACAUUCUUGUGAUGUCGUCACAAGAUCGAUCCGAAAGCUGAUGCUCAAACCGCAUGGAAUGGAAGUUGAAGUGGCUGUCAAUGUAAAAUACGCCGAUGAUCUUCAUCUUGUUGGUCUUUCUUGAAGUGGCGGUCAAUGGAAAUGCCUGUCAUGAAUUAUUGAGCUAUUGAGGUAUAACUCACUUCUAUUUUUGUUAGCAUGCAUUAUUUUUUAGUUUAAUGAGGAAAGUUUAGUUAUUUUAGUAUAAAAAAAGAUUCAAAAUUACAGUCAGUUGGCAAAGCAGGUGUGAAGGGCUAUUGGGUUUGAUCCCCAAUAAACGCACCUGCAGGAAGGGAUGAAGGGCCUUAAUUGUGACUAAACUCUGAGCCGGAUGAGGUGGUCCCUGGUAAUAUAGUCUGGAUAUCAAU
rnacentral:lncRNA from 1 species